AGACAGCGCUAUCGCGCUUCCUCAGCCCGAACGGCAUCGAA
rnacentral:ncRNA from 1 species